rnacentral:lncRNA from 1 species
UGUUUACCUAAUUAGAAUAUCAAAUGUGCUUUGUGAUGCAUGUGACAUUGUUGUUAGCGAUAUAUCCUAUGAGGAAUCCAAGAUAUGAAUACUUCCAUACUAUGAUAAUACACUUUUGAACUCAUAAUAAAAAUUGAAUGGAUAGAGAAACAUAAAUCAAAUUUUGAAGUAAUUAUAAAAAUACUAUCAGUAUGGUCUACACAUAACAUUAUAUACUUUGAGGUAACAUAAUUACUUUUAAACUUAAUUGUUUUUAAACUUAUUUUUUCAAGUGUAACCAAAAACCCUUAGUUAUACAACUUAAGCUUACAAAAAUUAUUAAUGCACUUAUGAAUUAUGGGUAAAAUCUUUGGUGGACAAUCAGCAUCUGUAGCACAGGGAAUGCGAUCUGCAUUGUCAAAUAAGAAAAAUAAAUUUUUUAAUGAAAUGAGAUAUAAUAUAGUUUAUAAGAUAAAUUAGUAAAUGUUGGGAAAAAUUACAUACCACCAUUUAUUAGAAUAAAAAAUAGAGAAAGAAAUAAAAUCAAAGCAUAAACAAACUUCAGAAUUUGAGCCAUAA